GUGUUAGAGGUUUGAAUUGCUAUUUUCUGAUCGAGGUAAGUGUUUGAUCUAACUUUGGCUUGAGGGAAUAUGAUUAGAGUGCUUGAUUUCUAUUUGCUAAAUGAUCGAGUACGGUGUAUAGGCAUGGUGACGAGUAUCUAUACGCCUGUGUCUAGCAUGACCGUGAGUCAUAAAUGCUUUUAAUUCGAAAGAUAUGGCACGAAUGUCUUGUUAAAUUGAUAAUUUCCAUGUAAAGUGUUGGAUAAGAAUGAAAUGAAUUAAAAGUGUUUGUGAAGCAAUGAUUCCUUUGCCGGGACGAGUAGGCUGUUACUAUUAAAUUCUCCCUUGCCGGGAUAUUUGGGAUGUUAGUUGUACCCUUGUUGGGUUUAAUUGUUAUAUUGUUGUUCUUCCCUAAUGGGACCUCUCUUGGAGGGAUUAUUAGAGAUAAUCAAUUAUAAUAUGGGAUCGUGUGGCACACCGACCACCACUUAUAUUGAUAACUGUUUUUGGCCAAGAUGCCGGAGACAUUGUACACGGAGAAAAUGGGAUCGUGUGGCGUGUCGUCCACUUAUAUACAAUAACAUGGGAUCGUGUGGCUCUCCGUC
rnacentral:lncRNA from 1 species